rnacentral:lncRNA from 1 species
AUGGCCAACCCUGUGUACCUUGGCCUGCCCCUCAGCUGCACACCUGUACCUGCACACACGGCCUCUGCACACUUGGCCUGCACACACCUGUGCAUACCUAUAUCUGCACACACCUGGCCUCUGCACAUCUGUGCCUCCACACCUGUAACUGCACAUCUGUACCUGUACACCAGGCCUCUGUGCCUGUGCACAACUGUGCCUGUGCACACCUGUGCCUGCGCACCUGUACCUCCGCAUGCCUGUGCCUUCACACCUGUACCUCUGCAUGCCUGUGCCUGUACACCUGGCCUCUGCACUCCUGGCCUGCACACACCUGUGCCUGCACACCUGUACCUGUGCACCUGGCCUACACACACCUGGCCUGCACACACCUGUGCCUGUACACCUGUACCUCUGCAUGCCUGUACCUCUGCACACCUGGCCUCCACACACCUGUGCCUGUACAACUGGCCUCUACACUUCUGGCCUGCACACACCUGUUCCUGCACACCUGUACCUGUACACCUGGCCUACACACACCUGGCCUGCACACACCUGUGCCUCCACAUACCUGUGCCUGCACACCUGUACCUGUGCAACUGGCCUCUUCACACCUGGCCUGCACACACCUGUGCCUGUACACAUCUGUGCCUACACACCUGGCCUCUGCACACUUGGCAUCCACACACCUGUGCCUGCACACCUGUACCUCUGCAUGCCUGUACCUGUACACCUGGCCUCUGCACACCUAUGCCUGCACAUACUUUUGCCUCUGCACACCUGUACCUGUAUACCUGGCCUCUGCAUGCCUGGCCUACACACACCUGGCCUGCACACACCUGUGCCUGUACGCCUAUACCUCUGCAUGCCUGUACCUGCACACCUGGCCUGCACAUGCCUGGCCUUCACACAUCUGGCCUGCACACCUGUACCUGUACACCUGUGCCUGCACACCUGGUCUCAGAAGCAGCUCGCCUUGAUAGCUUCUCAGGCUGCUCUCUGGUGGCCACCCCACCCAGCAAGGUGAGUGCCCAGAUGUCUGGCCAAGUGGGGGCUGAAAGCCCCCGCUCUGGAAAGGCCUGGACUCCAGGGAGGAACAGCCCCCCACUGCAACAUAGGUACCCUGGGCUGAGGACCCCAGCCCCACUGCCCACCCACCCAUAG